rnacentral:lncRNA from 1 species
CCCUUAUAUCCGCGCAGGCGCAAAUGUUCGCCGGGAGCCAAGAUGUCGUUUUCCAAGUAUAAGCCUGCACCCCUGGCCGCUCUCCCCAAUACCCUCGACCCCGCCGAGUAUGACGUGUCUCCGGAGACCCGAAAGGCGCAGGUCGAGCGCAUGAGCAUAAGGGCCCGGCUUAAACGGGAGUAUCUGCUUCAGUACAACGACCCCAAACGCCAAACGCACAUCGUGAGUGGGGCCGGGCGGGACUGUGGGCCGGGGCAGCCGCAUCUCGCGCGGGCACACGCGGGGUCACCCAGCUCCAAUCCGUGUGCUGGACACCGGCCCCUAGCUGCACAGCCCUUGGUCCUUCAACUUUAGCCUUAUGCUCAGUGGUCAAAGGGAUUGGGCUCCGGCUGCAGACCCAGCUGGCCUUGCGUCCUGGCUAGACCGUUCCCCCCAUUUGGAGAAAGUUGUUAAACUCUGCGUAGUCUCGGCUUUCUUAUCUGAAACAUGGCCAUGAUAUUGUCCUUCAUAUCUUCUGAAGCAGAUUACACGUGACUAACCUAGCCCAGUAUCUUCCUUGAAAGGGCGUGUUCAGGACCGGUACUCCCAAGUGUACCGCAUAAAAAGCUGUUUUGUGCCUUUAAGCUCUUAACUCUGAAGGACACUUCUUUCUCUUGAG